rnacentral:rRNA from 1 species
UACGUAGGGUGCAAGCGUUGUCCGGAAUUAUUGGGCGUAAAGAGCUCGUAGGCGGUUUGUCGCGUCUGCUGUGAAAAACCUGCAGCUUAACUGUGGGCGUGCGGUCGAUACGGGCAUCACUGGAGUUCGGCAGGGGAGACUGGAAUUCCUGGUGUAGCGGUGAAAUGCGCAGAUAUCAGGAGGAACACCGAUGGCGAAGGCAGGUCUCUGGGCAUUAACUGACGCUGAGGAGCGAAAGCAUGGGGAGCGAACAGG